AACGAACGCUGGCGGCAUGCCUAACACAUGCAAGUCGAACGAGACCUUCGGGUCUAGUGGCGCACGGGUGCGUAACGCGUGGGAACCUGCCCUUAGGUUCGGAAUAACUCCCCGAAAGGGGUGCUAAUACCGGAUAAUGUCUUCGGACCAAAGAUUUAUCGCCUUUGGAUGGGCCCGCGUUGGAUUAGCUAGUUGGUAGGGUAAAAGCCUACCAAGGCGACGAUCCAUAGCUGGUCUGAGAGGAUGAUCAGCCACACUGGGACUGAGACACGGCCCAGACUCCCACGGGAGGCAGCAGUGGGGAAUAUUGGACAAUGGGCGAAAGCCUGAUCCAGCAAGGCCGCGUGAGUGAUGAAGGCCUUAGGGUGGUAAAGCUCUUUUACCCGGGAUGAUAAUGACAGUACCGGGAGAAUAAGCUCCGGCUAACUCCGU
rnacentral:rRNA from 1 species